rnacentral:rRNA from 1 species
GUGCCAGCAGCCGCGGUAAUACCGGCAGCUCAAGUGAUGGCCGCUGUUAUUGGGCCUAAAGCGUCCGUAGCCGGCCGGACAAGUCCGUUGGGAAAUCGACGCGCCUAACGCGUCGGCGUCCAGCGGAAACUGUCCGGCUUGGGGCCGGAAGAUCCGAGGGGUACGUCCGGGGUAGGAGUGAAAUCCCGUAAUCCUGGACGGACCGCCGGUGGCGAAAGCGCCUCGGAAGGACGGACCCGACAGUGAGGGACGAAAGCCAGGGUCUCCAACCGGAUUAGAAACCCUAGUAGUCC